CCUGCCCAAUGAGAUAGAUUUAAUGGCCGCGGUAUUAUGACCGUGCAAAGGUAGCAUAAUCAUUAGUCUUUUAAUUUAAGGCUUGUAUGAAUGGUUGGACAAAAGAAAAACUGUCUUCUUUAAUAAAAAUUGAAUUUAACUUUUAAGUGAAAAGGCUUAAAUAUUUCAAAGGGACGAUAAGACCCUAUAAAGCUUUAUAAAAAAAUAAAAGUUAGGUUGAGAUUUAUUUAUUAAAAAUUAAGGUUUAUAUUUUAUUAGGUUGGGGUAACAGAGGUAUAAUUAUAGAUAACUGCUUUAUUUAUAAACAAAAAUAUUUGUAUUUAAGUUAAUUGGUCCUUGUUUAAAGAUUCAAAGAUUAAGUUACUUUAGGGAUAACAGCGUUAUUUUUUUUGAGAGUUCUUAUCAAAAAAAGAGUUUGCGACCUCGAUGUUGAAUUAAAAUUUCUAUAUAGUGCAGUUGUUAUAUAAGAAGGUCUGUUCGACCUUUAAUUUUUUACGUGAUCUGAGUU
rnacentral:rRNA from 1 species